rnacentral:lncRNA from 1 species
UUAUAUUCUUCUCCACAAUAUCUCUCUCGCUGGUUCCUAUUUUGUUCAUUUUCCCUUUUCAUUUCUUUUGUACAUCAUUAAUCUCUUUGUGAUGUUUUAUUCUAUUUCUCGUCAUUUUGUUUGAUUUUCCCCAAAUCGCUGCGCACAGAGGUUGAGAGGGAGAAAUCGUGACAAGGUAAGAAAGAAGGGAGCAGCAGCCAUGAGGGCCAUAAGGUGCCUAUGGUGAUCUGAGGAGGUCGUGGUGGUGGUUGCCGACGACGGCAGCCCCUGGAUGGCAGAUUUGAAGAAGAUUGAAGGGGGAAAAUGAAGCAGAAGAAGAGGAAGGUGAAAGGAGGAAGAAAAGGAUGAGCGAUUACAAAGAUGAAUGAGGUAGUGUUGGAAUAUUUUUAAGAGGGUAAUACAUCACAACUUAUCAGGUCUUAUCUCACAUUUUGAUGAUGGAUUAAAUUAUACACCAUUUUAAUGUAUAAGGAUGGUUUGAUGGAUAAAGUUAUCCAAUACAAUGUAAGCUCCAAAUGACUAAUAAGCUUAUAAUGUAUUAUAUUAACUUAUACAAUCAGGCCUAAUACGGUGCUCCAAACGGGCACUCAGUGAUUACAGUAUUCAGGCUACAUGGAUGAAUUUAAGAUAUUAACCAUGAGUUACAUGAUUAGUUUAUUUUAAAAAACAAGACUAAUUAAUUAGAUUUAUUAUAUAAGGUGAAAACUAAGAUGUAAAUUGUAAUAAUAUUUAUUUGGAUUAAUUAUGUACAUUUUCCUUAUAAUUUGAAUCA